GCAGUGCAGUGCACCUAUGAUUUACAUUUUAGAAAUAGAUGUUAAACUUUGGUUUGAAUGAAAAAUGUCUCUCAACCCACCUGUAUUUCUCAAAGAAAAGGAAGAAAAUAAUUCAAAAUCUGUAGAAAUACAACACUCACAAACUACUUCCAUAGCUGCAGAAGAUCCUCUUCAAAACUUAUGCUUAGCAUCUCAAGAAGUUCUUCAAAAAGCUCAGCGAAGUGGAAGAUCAAAAUGUCUCAGAUGUGGUGGCUCAAGAAUGUUCUAUUGCUAUACAUGUUAUGUCCCAGUUGAAAAUGUACCUAUUCAACAGAUGCCACUUGUGAAGCUUCCACUGAAGAUUGAUAUCAUUAAACAUCCAAAUGAAACAGAUGGCAAAAGUACUGCUAUACAUGCAAAACUAUUAGCACCUGAAUUUGUAAAUAUUUACAAGUAUCCUUGUAUUCCAGAAUAUGAAGAAAAGGACCAUGAAGUUGCACUUGUUUUUCCUGGACCUAAGUCUGUCUCAGUAAAAGAUAUUUCUUUUCAUCUGCAAAAAAGGAUUCAAACUAAUGUUAAAGGCAAAAAUGAUGACCCUGACAAGCCAUUUAUUUAAUGCAAGAAAACUGAAGAACAGGAUUUGAAUGACAGCAACUGCCAAGACACAACACUGAAAAAAAUUAUAUUUAUAGAUAGCACCUGGAACCAACAAAACAAAAUAUUCACUGAUGAGAGACUUCAAGGAUUGUUACAAGUUGAGUUGAAAACAAGAAAAACUUGCUUUGGGCGCCAUCAAAAAGGAAAGCCAGAUAACUUCCUUUCCACAAUUGAAGCCAUUUACUAUUUUCUGGUAGGCUACCAUACUGAUAUAUUAAAAGAAAAAUACUAAGGACAAUAUGACAAUCUCUUAUUUUUCUACUCUUUUAUGUACCAGUUGAUAAAGAAUGCCAAAUGCUCUGGAGACAAGGAAACAAGAAAACGUAUCCAUUAG